rnacentral:rRNA from 1 species
GGUGAACGCUGGCGGUAGGCCUAACACAUGCAAGUCGAACGGCAGCACAGUAAGAGCUUGCUCUUACGGGUGGCGAGUGGCGGACGGGUGAGGAAUACAUCGGAAUCUACUUUUUCGUGGGCGAUAACGUAGGGAAACUUACGCUAAUACCGCAUACGACCUACGGGUGAAAGCAGGGGAUCUUCGGACCUUGCGCGAUUGAAUGAGCCGAUGUCGGAUUAGCUAGUUGGCGGGGUAAAGGCCCACCAAGGCGACGAUCCGUAGCUGGUCUGAGAGGAUGAUCAGCCACACUGGAACUGAGACACGGUCCAGACUCCUACGGGAGGCAGCAGUGGGGAAUAUUGGACAAUGGGCGCAAGCCUGAUCCAGCCAUACCGCGUGGGUGAAGAAGGCCUUCGGGUUGUAAAGCCCUUUUGUUGGGAAAGAAAAGCAGCAGGUUAAUACCCCGCUGUUCUGACGGUACCCAAAGAAUAAGCACCGGCUAACUUCGUG